rnacentral:tRNA from 1 species
GGUGGCUCAGUUAGUUGAGCAUCUGACUUCAGCUCAGAGCAUGAUCUCACGGUUUGUGGGUUUGAGCCCCACAGCCA